rnacentral:ncRNA from 1 species
AAUAUUUUGAUCGUGAUAGAAGUAGUAGUUGGGACGCCGAUCCACAGAGAUCCUGCGGGGCUGUGAGCAGGAGGUCGGCACCGGCGAACUCCUCUAGGUGAUUGCCGCUGAAAGAGAGUAGGCGGUGACGUCUUCCGCGUUAAGGAGCCAAGUGCUAUGGCUUAGUCCAUAGAAAACGGGUGGUACCGCGGAUUUAAUUUCGUCUCGUAG